GCCAAUGUGCUCGAGCCUUUGUGUUAUCACUUAAAUGAGGUGAAUCACUCCUGGAAUUGGAGCUGGGAAGCGGGCCAUGUUCCUAAGUAGCCAAUGGCACCCAGCCAGACUAAAGAAGCCCCAGAAACUCCAGGGCUGUGAGAACCACAACAAGAGCCAUAUCUGCAAGAACCAGGAGUAACUGAAUGCUGGGAUAAUGCUGGUGACAGGCAUUACAACAAAUGUCACCCAUGUGAUGUGGAAAGAUUGGUCUGAGACAACCCACAUCACAAGGAAAUAGCUUCUGCCCUACUGCUAUUCUUACAAACCUUGGUCAGUGCACAGACACAUCAGUGGUACCAAAACAAAGCUAGAGCUGCCAUCACUGAUGGUGAUUGGGCAACUAAAAAGUUCUAAGGGAGGGCAAUCCCCUAAAGCAGUCCAUCAUCCCAAAGACAAAAUUCCUCAGCAGAAGAGCUAAGGAGAAGAGUAAUGGCAUGUGUGUGUGGAGGGGAAGGGGUCUGUGUCCUGCGGGCGUGAAGCCACAAGAAGUCAAUUAAACGAUAAAUACUUUGGAAAAUA